UACGUAGGGUGCGAGCGUUGUCCGGAAUCAUUGGGCGUAAAGGGCUCGUAGGCGGUCCAUUGCGUCGGGAGUGAAACGCUGGGGCUUAACCCCAGUCCUGCUUUCGAUACGGGUGGACUAGAGGUAGGCAGGGGAGAAUGGAAUUCCUGGUGUAGCGGUGAAAUGCGCAGAUAUCAGGAGGAACACCGGUGGCGAAGGCGGUUCUCUGGGCCUAAUCUGACGCUGAGGAGCGAAAGCGUGGGGAGCAAACAGG
rnacentral:rRNA from 1 species